UUAUUAAUAUUAUUUUUGUUGUGUUCUUAUUAUUGUUAUCAUUAUAAUAGCGUAUAGAGAUAAAAAAUCAUUCAUCUGUGCGAGUUCAGAAAAAAGAGCUCUUUAAGAGCUCGUUUUGAUGAGUUCUUAAAGUCUACAAUAAGCGGCGCAUUCGACCUCUUCAGAAGGUCUUAAAGACGUUUUUUAGACGUAGACUCUGACGUCCAAAUCAGAAAUCUGAGCUCAUUCGGAAUAACUUAAUACGUCAUUUUGCUAUCUGGGUAUAAGGUUUAACUUUUAUUAAGAUCGGCU